UUCCGAGUGCGAGAGGUGCACGGUGCACGAGGGAGACCUACUUCUCGUUUUUUUUUCCGAUCGACUUGUCGCAUCACCGUGUAGCGUAUGUACGCUUUGUAGCGCUUUGGGGAAUACGUCGUCGUCGUCGUCGUCCGUUCUACGCGCGACGGCUCUUGCGACGCUUUCCUUGGAAACGAUACCGAAAGGACGAUCGAACGAUUUCAGGAAACUAACGCCGGACGGGGGGACCGUCCAUUCGUCCGAGUCGUCUCGAUUACUCCGACCUACCGGCGACCACCGAUAUAAACAUAUCGGACGACGCUGCGUAGGUGGAAAAACAUCCCAUAUUGAUUUUACAAACGCGUUGCACAAAUCCAUCGCGCGUCUAAUCAAUGUAAAACAGCGGUUUGAUAGUAGUAGUAGCAGCAGCAGCAGCAACAAUAGUUGCUCCGCGUGAUCCCAGGAGGAACAUAAAAACUCCCAAGUGAUGUUAUGACGUUUAUUCAUCACUCAAAAGUCACUUCAACUUCGCAACGAUCUCUUUGGGAUAGCAGUAAAAAGCUCAUUAAUAUAAAUAAAAAAAAUACAAUUAAAGCUCUAAACGCUGUUCUUAGUCAACUGGUUAAAAAGUCUUAAUUACAUAAAAAUAUGUAUUGAAAUUUAAUAAAAGAUUCAUCACUGGAGAGCGUCACAUCGCAACUUCUUUGUUCUACUUGGGACAGUAUAAAAAGCACGUUAUUUAUACUACGUAAAAAUACAAUUAGAACUCUAAACGCUAUUCUUAGUCAACGGUGAAAAAGUUAAUUAUAAUAAAAAUAUGUAUUAAAAUUUAAUAA